CCCGGGACCCGCCGUGAGCCAUGAGCUGUGAGGUCGCGAUGCUGAUCGAGCAGGAGACGCCUCCUCCACGCGCCUCAUCGCCAGGUGUCCCCGUGUGCGCUGGUUGCUCCGCGCGCAUCCACGGCCGCUUCUUGCUCCGCGCGGUGGACCUAGCCUGGCACCCGCGCUGUCUGCGCUGUGCCGAGUGCGGCGAGCGACUCACAGACUCCUGCUACUCGCGAGACGGGAGGCUCUUCUGCCGAGACGACUUCUUCAGGCGGUUCGGCACUCGCUGCUCCGCCUGCUCCCAGGGCAUCGCCCCGGGCGAGGCGGUGAGACGCGCCCGGGAGCGCCUCUACCACGCGCGCUGCUUCGCCUGCUCCGCCUGCGCGCGGCCACUGCUGACUGGAGAUCGCUUCCUGCUGCUGCCAGACGCGCGCCUCGUGUGCCUGGCACACCUGCCGUCUGCUCACCCUCACCACCCUCACCACCCUCACCCUCACCAACAACAACAACUGCCGCCGCAUGCUCACCCUCACCACGGGCCGUCGGGAACCACCGCUCAGCGCCAACACGCGGAGCCCGGCGACCCGCCGGGCGCCGCUGAGGGGCCGAUCAAGCGGCCUCGCACCACGAUCUGCGCGCGGCAGCUCGAGGCGCUGCGCGGGGCCUACAAAGCGACGCCCAAACCCCCGCGCCACGUGCGGGAGCGGCUCGCCAGCGAGACCGGCCUCGACAUGCGGGUGGUGCAGGUGUGGUUUCAGAACCGGCGCGCCAAGGAGAAGCGACUGAAGAAGGACGUGGGCCGGGAGCGCUGGGGUCCGUCGGUCGCCGCCCAGGGCACCGGCCGCGCGGGGAAGGGUCGGUCCCGCACCCCGAGACCCCACCAGGAGACGGACCCCGGCAAGGGUGUCCACAGGGACCCGGCGCCACCCGAACGCAGCCACCACCUAGGGGGGCUGGCCCAGAUGUCCUCCGAGGUGGUGCUGUAUGGGGGGGCCGCUGGGCCUCCUGCCUCCCGGUCCCCCUGGUACGAGAUGGACACGGGGAUCGCGCUCUACUGAUGGGGGUGCGGGCCUCGGGGUCCGGGACGUCAGUCUGGGACGGAGGCCCUGCUAAGAGAUGGUAUCCCCUUGGUGCAGGGAAACAGGGAACCCAGCCCUUUGGUGCGUGACGUCAUUUAUGGACGGCCACGUAGAUCGAUUCGGCCUUUAAACCAGUGCCUGCUGCAGUGGGUCAAGAUCGGCAUUGGAGAGACAGAGGUGAUCAGGCGUGGUAUUGGCCAUCCAUCACCUCGUGCGAGGGGAUGGGUGGCCAAUUAAACUAUUUUAAUACACAUUUAUUUGUAACCAGGUUAAUUAAAUCUUGACUUAAAGCUUUCGUGAUUUG